rnacentral:sRNA from 1 species
CGCAGCGAGAGAACGUUGCUUCAGCAACGGCCCGCAGGGCGAGCCACGCAGUGGCGAGUCAUCCUCUAUCACCGACCA